GUGACCCCAGGAUGGGCGAGGCCACCCGCUGAGUUUAA
rnacentral:rRNA from 1 species